rnacentral:misc_RNA from 1 species
GAUGAAGAACGCAGCGAAAUGCGAUACGUAAUGUGAAUUGCAGAAUUCAGUGAAUCAUCGAAUCUUUGAACGCAUAUUGCGCUCUUUGGUAUUCCGAAGAGCAUGCUUGUUUGAGUAUCAGUAAACACCUCAAAGACUUCAAUUUGUUUUGAAUGGCUUUGGACUUGAGCAAUCCCAACACCAGUCUUUACGAUCGGUGGAGGGUUGCUUGAAAUGCAGGUGCAGCUGGACAUUCUCCUGAGCUAAAAGCAUAUUUAUUUAGUCCCGUCAAACGGAUUAUUACUUUUGCUGCAGCUAACAUAAAGGGAGUUUGACCGUAUUGGCUGACUGAUGCAGGAUUUCACAAGGGUCGGCAACGAUUCUUGUAAAACUCGAUCUCAAAUCAAGUAAGACUACCCGCUGAACUUAAGCAUAUUCAAUAAGCGGAGGA